UACAGAGGUCUCAAGCGUUGUUCGGAUUCAUUGGGCGUAAAGGGUGCGUAGGUGGCGCCGUAAGUCGGGUGUGAAAUCUCGGGGCUUAACUCCGAAACUGCAUUCGAUACUGCGGUGCUUGAGGACUGGAGAGGAGACUGGAAUUUACGGUGUAGCAGUGAAAUGCGUAGAGAUCGUAAGGAAGACCAGUGGCGAAGGCGGGUCUCUGGACAGUUCCUGACACUGAGGCACGAAGGCCAGGGGAGCAAACGGG
rnacentral:rRNA from 1 species